rnacentral:rRNA from 1 species
CACGUAGGGCGCAAGCGUUGUCCGGAAUUAUUGGGCGUAAAGAGCUCGUAGGCGGUCUGUUACGUCUGCUGUGAAAACCCGGGGCUUAACCCUGGGCUUGCAGUGGAUACGGGCAGACUAGAGGCAGGUAGGGGAGAAUGGAAUUCCCGGUGUAGCGGUGAAAUGCGCAGAUAUCGGGAGGAACACCGGUGGUGAAGGCGGUUCUCUGGGCCUGACCUGACGCUGAGGAGCGAAAGCGUGGGGAGCGAACAGG